rnacentral:rRNA from 1 species
CUCUCGGGAUUUCCUGAGAGCAGGUCUGCUUCAGUGCUUAGC